rnacentral:rRNA from 1 species
CCCACGGGGGGCUGCAGUGGGGAAUAUUGGACAAUGGGGGGAACCCUGAUCCAGCCAUGCCGCGUGUGUGAAGAAGGCCCUCGGGUUGUAAAGCACUUUCAGUGAGGAAGAACGCCUGGUGGUUAAUACCCAUCAGGAAAGACAUCACUCACAGAAGAAGCACCGGCUAACUCCGUGCCAGCAGCCGCGGUAAUACGGAGGGUGCGAGCGUUAAUCGGAAUUACUGGGCGUAAAGCGCGCGUAGGUGGCUUGAUAAGCCGGUUGUGAAAGCCCCGGGCUCAACCUGGGAACGGCAUCCGGAACUGUCAAGCUAGAGUGCAGGAGAGGAAGGUAGAAUUCCCGGUGUAGCGGUGAAAUGCGUAGAGAUCGGGAGGAAUACCAGUGGCGAAGGCGGCCUUCUGGACUGACACUGACACUGAGGUGCGAAAGCGUGGGUAGCAAACAGGAUUAGUUACCCGUGUAGUC